UAAGCAAGUUUAAUGUGUAUAUGUGUUAUGUUACGAUUACUGCACUCUUUCGAAAGUAUUUCCAUGCGAUAUCAAUAUGAGAGAAUGGGCAGUUGUGUUUCAUUUCAUGUUGAAAAUCACAAAAAUCAUUUUCUUUACAUCU